rnacentral:lncRNA from 1 species
CUAAAAAAUAAACCUCUCUCUGUGUCAGUCAGCUCACUCCUCUCUACACUCCAUAAAUCCAUCUUCCACUUCAGUUGAGACUAACGCACAAUUCAGGUAUGCAUUUUUCUGUUUUUGAUGUUCAAUGUAUGUUUUUAUGUUAAAAGUAUGUUUUUGAUGUGAAAUCUAAGUAGCUAUUCUGCUGUUUUGGUUCUUUCUCAAAUCCUCACCCCAAAGGCCAAAGCUUUCACCUUUGGAUCCCAAGGUUCCAUCUCAACCAUAAUAGAUUGAUUGCUGCCAAAGGGAUGAGAAAGACACUAACUUUGGUUCUAAUACUCCAAAGUUUCAACCUUUUAAGAAUUGAAAUGCAGCAAAUUUGUGUCAUUGCUGCCAAAAAGAUGAAAAAGGCACCAACUUUGGUUCUAAUACUCCAAAGUUUCAACCUUUAAGACUUGAAAUGCAGAAAAUUUGUGUUCUUUAGUCCUCACCCCAAACUUUCAACCUUUAAGACUUAAAAUGCAGGAGAUUUGGGAAGGCAUCAAGAUUAAGGAGAACACUGCAGAAGCUAUGGAGGAAGAUGAUGAAGAUGAAGAUUGGGAAGAGGGAUGAAGAUUAUCCAGAUAAUGAGAUUAGGAUUAUGAGAAGUGUAGCAAAUAGGUUUCCUCGUUUCUUCUAGGUGAUCUUUGCCAAUAUUAAGAGAAGAUUUUCAGUACAUUUUUGUCAAGUAAGGUGAAGUGUG